UAAAAGCAGGCUGCCGGAGCCGGGAGUGGCAAUCCCCUAAUGUUCCCUUCCACCUUGUGGAAGUUUUGUUCUUUCGCUCUUUGCAAUAAAUCCCAUUGUUGCUCGCUCUUUGGGGUCUCACUGUCUGUGCGAGCUGUAAUACUCGCCGCAAAGGUGUCUGGCUUCACUUCCGAGACCAGCGAGACCCCGAACCCACCGGGAGGAAUGAACAACUCCGGAUGGGAGGGACAAACAACACCAGACGCACCGCCUUAAGAGUCCUAACGCUCACCGCGGAGGUCUGCGGCUUCACUCUUGAAUGAAGCCAGCGAGAUCACAAACCCACCAGAAGGAAGGAACUCUGAACACAUCCGAAAAUCAGAAGGAACAAACUCCGGACACACUACCUUUAAGAACUGUAACACUCAAAUCGCGAGGGUCCACGGCUUCGUUCUUGAAGUCAGUGAGACCAAGAACCCACAAAUUCCGGACACUUCCCCACACAGAGGGAACUGGCCUAACACUCUGGUGGUGCCAAUAGGAUGUACUGACAGAUCAGAAGUGGUCGUGAGAGAAGGAGCAAGUAGCCAGAAGAGUGAAGUGUGCACUGGCUGAGAUGUGGGAGCAGGUGUUGUUGGUUUCCCCGGAGUCUUAUGUAUCAACAAAAUCACACCAGACCACCCAAAGCUGGCCCUGCCAACUGACCACACACACCCCUGCCUGAAAGGCAUGUUUCAAUGUGCAACAGACGCCUGCCACUCAGGGGACAUCAAAUGUUCAUGAGAACUCGCUAACCUCGAAACAGGUGACUGUCAAGACUGGCUGAGGAUUGAAACUCUGGGGAAAUUUGCUAGAAUAUGUGUGGAUUGCUGGGCCAGCUUCCCGAUGGGCUGAUCUUUAGGUGCCGGGCUGGGGAUGCGCAUUCUCAGCACUGCUGCUGGGUGGUUCUGUGAAGUAGACCCUUGGUAACCACUGCAUUAGACCACCUAGGUCUCUGCCACUUCCACACUGUGGACACUUCGAUGGAUCAUUCUUUGUGGUGGGCACUGUCCAGUGCAUUGCUGGAUAUUCAGCAGCAUUCCUGAACUCUUCUUGCCAGAUACCAGUAGCACCCUUCCUGUCCCCUCCCAUGUCACCAUAUGACAACCCAAAAGAUCUCCAGACGUUGCCACAUGUUCCCAGGCAGCAAACUCCCUUCCAUGGUAACUACUGUCCUAGGCUGUUUACAAGGUUAUUAGUGAUGGUGACAGCCAUAAUGAGGAACCAGGCUCUGUGCCGAGCACUCACUGCAUCUCAUUCUGUGUAAUCCUCAUGGUCAUAUUCUUAGGCAAUCUUUUCAUCAUUGUUUAUAAAACUCAGAGAAUUUAAACAGCUUUCCCAAGGUCAUGGGUAAUCAGUGGCCACAGCUUGAUGCCUACCUCUGUUUGACUCCAAAGUGGACUCAGGGGUCAGAUAGAUCCAGAGGGUGACAGAAACCUCAUCCUGGAGACUGGGGGUUCUUCCAAGGCUUGUUCUUGUCACUUUUUUUUUUUUUUUUUUUGAGAUGGAGUCUUGCUCUGUUGCCCAGGCUGGAGUGCAGUGGCGCGAUCUCAGCUCACUGCAAGCUCCGCCUCCCAGGUUCACGCCUCCCAGGUUCACGCCUCCCGAGUAGCUGGGACUACAGGUGCCUGCCACCAUACCUGGCUAAUUUUUUGUAUUUUCAGUAGGGACGGGUUUUCGCCAUGUUGGCCAGGAUAGUCUCGAUCUCCUGAACUCGUGAUCCGCCCUCCUCCGCCUCCCAAAGUGCUGGGAUUACAGGCGUGAGCCACCGCACCGGGCCUCUUGUCACUAUUUAACAAAGCAUAAUGGCUCCUCUCUGCCUACUCUACCAGAUCCAUGCUCUUUAGCCUGCCAGGCCAGGCUGUCCCUACCUCACAUCCCCUGAUCAGCUACAUUAUAAUCUAAGGCCUAUCUCCUCUUUAACCCUGAACGUACCUUGCUCAUUUUCACUGUAGGGCUGUUUCUUUCAUUCAGGGGUCUCAAACUCAAAUGUCUAUAGGGGCCUAGAGGGUAAAUUAACAAACAAAGUGGGCUCAGUGCAAGAUGAUAAAUGGCAAUGGAUCUUUCAGCCUCAUUUGGAGAGACCUUGGGAAUGGUGAGGACUGUGACCUCAGUGGAGCACCUACUUUACUGAGACAGGGCAGCUGCUUCUCCAUCUUGCCCUGUGCUAGUCUUGCUGGAUAUUUUAUUUUUCAAGAAAUAAAAUAUGGAAUGUGGAAUAAUAUGUGUGACUUAUCAAUUUUUAAAUUUUGGUAGGUUCUACAAAUUCAAAAAAACCACCCGUGGCCUGGCUCUGGGCUGAAGCUGAGUCCUGGCUUGAAAUCCCCUGCCUUAAUCUCUCUUCGAAGACUUUUCUGCAUUCAUCUGAGUCCUCAUCCUCCAAGGCAGGGCUCAGGCUUGGGCUCAGGCUCCCAGCCAUGUAUCCCUCCUGGACCAUUCCUGACUCCUUUCCAGUAUCCUUAUCACUUGUACCACAUACGUUGGCCUUUGAUCCUGUGUACUGUUGGAUUUGUCUUUACUUCACAGGUUCAUCUUGUCUCCCCAAGAACAAUGAGAGUUGCCUCAAGGGGUAGAACCAUGCUUUUUGUUUUCUUUUGAAUUCAUUACAGCACAGCCAAAAGCUCAACACACAAAACACACUCAGUAAAUAUCUGUUGAACAGAAUAAAAGCCAUUCCGCAUAACCAACCCUGAUCUCUUUUGCUGGACUGUAAACCAACCUACCUAUUGUUAGUCCUUCACAGAUUAUAUGGUGGAUCUGAACACAUCAGGUAGAACCUUUGAUAAACUUAAAGUCCUUCAUUGAAUCACUCUGUAGCCACUGUUUUCUCUAGGACAAAAGCUUUAAAUAUUUUGAGAAAAUUGUACAAGACCAUCCAUCCUGAUUCUCAUGGCUUUGGUUGUUCAGAAAGGAAAUCUUUGUACACACACCAUUUCACUGCCUCCUUUUCAGUUUCCCAAUUUGGAAAAAGGAAAAAUGUGAACUAUCCCCCUCUUCGCGUUCUUUUCUAACUGAAGUGAUAGAUUUCAGAGUCGUAUAAAGCUAAGAUUAUCGUUUAUCAUAUCUCAG
rnacentral:lncRNA from 1 species